CAGAUUGUUUUCUGUAACCUGAAAACUGUGUUCACUCAAAAUAGAUCUCUUAUAAUCACAGGUUAGGAGAGCAUUAUUAAACGCAAAACUCAGCCCUCUGGGAGCUGGUGGAACUCACCCUCUAGAGAUUUUUUUCCUGCAGAAAAGGUUUCGUUACGGACACCCUGGAAUACUGUUUGGAAAGACAACAAGGCUGGUGGGGAAGAUAAAGGAUCCUGCUGUUCAGUGGGUGUAUGCGAUGGAAAGUUGCUACCUCCCCUCCCUGUGCCUGCUGCUUUUCCCAUCCGACGUGUGACUUGCCUGUCCCAUGCCUUUGAAGCAUCUAGCAGCCAGAGUUUGCUUGUCUGCACAGGAUGGAUGCUUGCAAUGCAAUUACAUUCUUGGUAUUAAGAAGGUGAAAAGACUGAUGAGGAUUGCUGUUAUCCUGCAGAAGCUCUCCUACCAGUACCUCUCACACAGGUUUCCUGCACCAGUCACCUUCUGCACCUUAGCAUGGGUUCAAAGCUCACAUCUCAGCAGGGUUGGUCCACAUUACAGAAGCACAGGAGAGAUUUUUCCAGCACCAUUUCUGCAAAGACUUGUGCUGGUAUGGUUAGAGUGA
rnacentral:lncRNA from 1 species